rnacentral:rRNA from 1 species
ACAGCAGUCGCCGCGGGAAUACGUAGGGUGCAAGCGUUAAUCGGAAUUACUGGGCGUAAAGCGUGCGCAGGCGGUUUGUUAAGACAGAUGUGAAAUCCCCGGGCUCAACCUGGGAACUGCAUUUGUGGCUGGCAAGCUAGAGUGUGGCAGAGGGGGGUGGAAUUCCGCGUGUAGCAGUGAAAUGCGUAGAUAUGCGGAGGAACACCGAUGGCGAAGGCAGCCCCCUGGGCCAACACUGACGCUCAUGCACGAAAGCGUGGGGAGCAAACAGGAUUAGAUACCCCGGUAGUCCCUGUCUCUUAUAC